AAUUCGCCCUUAGAGUUUGAUCAUGGCUCAGAUUGAACGCUGGCGGCAUGCCUAACACAUGCAAGUCGAACGGCAGCGCGGGCUUCGGCCUGGCGGCGAGUGUCGGACGGGUGAGGAAUACAUAGGAAUCUGCCCAGUCGUGGGGGAUAACCCGGGGAAACCCGGACUAAUACCGCAUACGACGGUGACGUGAAAGCCGGGGACCUUCGGGCCUGGCGCGAUUGGAUGAGCCUAUGUCGGAUUAGCUAGUUGGCGGGGUAAAGGCCCACCAAGGCGACGAUCCGUAGCUGGUCUGAGAGGAUGAUCAGCCACACUGGGACUGAGACACGGCCCAGACUCCUACGGGAGGCAGCAGUGGGGAAUAUUGGACAAUGGGCGCAAGCCUGAUCCAGCAAUGCCGCGUGGGUGAAGAAGGCCUUCGGGUUGUAAAGCCCUUUUGUACGGGAAGAAAUCAUCCGGGUUAAUACCCUGGGUGGAUGACGGUACCGUAAGAAUAAGCACCGGCUAACUUCGUGCCAGCAGCCGCGGUAAUACGAAGGGUGCAAGCGUUAAUCGGAAUUACUGGGCGUAAAGCGUGCGUAGGUGGUUGUUCAAGUCUGUCGUGAAAGCCCUGGGCUCAACCUGGGAAUGGCGAUGGAAACUGGGCGACUGGAGUGCGGUAGAGGAUGGCGGAAUUCCCGGUGUAGCGGUGAAAUGCGUAGAGAUCGGGAGGAACAUCCGUGGCGAAGGCGGCCAUCUGGACCAGCACUGACACUGAGCACGAAAGCGUGGGGAGCAAACAGGAUUAGAUACCCUGGUAGUCCACGCCCUAAACGAUGCGAACUGGAUGUUGGUCUCAACUUGAGAUCAGUGUCGAAGCUAACGCGUUAAGUUCGCCGCCUGGGGAGUA
rnacentral:rRNA from 1 species